AGAGUUUGAUCAUGGCUCAGGACGAACGCUGGCGGCGUGCCUAACACAUGCAAGUCGAGCGGAGACAUUUGGAAAGCUUGCUUUUUGGAUGUUUCAGCGGCGGACGGGUGAGUAACGCGUGAGCAACCUGCCUUUAACAGGGGGAUAACGCAUCGAAAGAUGUGCUAAUACCGCAUAAGACCACAACGCUACAUGGCGAAGGGGUCAAAGGAGCAAUCCGGUUAAAGAUGGGCUCGCGUCCGAUUAGCUAGUUGGUGAGAUAACAGCCCACCAAGGCGACGAUCGGUAGCCGACCUGAGAGGGUGAUCGGCCACAUUGGAACUGAGAUACGGUCCAGACUCCUACGGGAGGCAGCAGUGAGGAAUAUUGGUCAAUGGGCGGAAGCCUGAACCAGCCAUGCCGCGUGCAGGAAUAAGGCCCUACGGGUCGUAAACUGCUUUUGUACGGGAGCAAUAAGGGCCAGUGUGGUCCGAUGAGAGUACCGUACGAAUAAGCAUCGGCUAACUCCGUGCCAGCAGCCGCGGUAAUACGGAGGAUGCGAGCGUUAUCCGGAUUCAUUGGGUUUAAAGGGUGCGUAGGCGGCGUGCCAAGUCAGGGGUGAAAGGUUCCGGCUCAACUGGGACAGUGCCUUUGAUGCUGGUGUGCUGGAGUGCGCUUGCCGUGGGAGGAAUGAGUGGUGUAGCGGUGAAAUGCUUAGAUAUCACUCAGAACACCAAAGGCGAAGGCAGUCUCCUGGGCAAAUACUGACGCUCAUAUGCGAAAGCGUGGGUAGCAAACAGGAUUAGAUACCCUGGUAGUCCACGCCGUAAACGAUGUCAAUUAGGAGCUUGGGCAAAAGUCUGGGUUCCGCAGCUAACGCAAUAAAUUGACCGCCUGGGGAGUACGGCCGCAAGGUUAAAACUCAAAUGAAUUGACGGGGGCCCGCACAAGCGGUGGAGCAUGUGGUUUAAUUCGACGCAACGCGAAGAACCUUACCUGAUCUUGACAUCGUAAGAACCUCACUGAAGGGUGAGGGUGCCUUCGGGAACUUACAGACAGGUGCUGCAUGGCUGUCGUCAGCUCGUGUCGUGAGAUGUUGGGUUAAGUCCCGCAACGAGCGCAACCCUUGUCCUUUGUUGCCAGCGGGUAAAGCCGGGAACUCAAAGGAGACUGCCAGUGACAAACUGGAGGAAGGCAGGGAUGACGUCAAGUCAUCAUGGCCCUUACGGUCAGGGCUACACACGUGCUACAAUGGGGCGUACAGAGGGAAACGAUACCGCGAGGUGGAGUGGAACCCAAAAAGCGUCCCUAAGUUCGGAUUGGAGUCUGCAACUCGACUCCAUGAAGUCGGAAUCGCUAGUAAUCGCAAAUCAGAAUGUUGCGGUGAAUACGUUCCCGGGCCUUGUACACACCGCCCGUCACACCAUGGGAGUGGAUUGCACCAGAAGUAGCUAGCUUAACUUUAUUGAGGGCGGUUACCACGGUGUGGUUUAUGACUGGGGUGAAGUCGUAACAAGGUAACCAUAGGGGAACCUGUGGUUGGAUCACCUCCUU
rnacentral:rRNA from 1 species